UUUCUUUCUUUAAUGACAAAUCUCUGCUUAGAGGUCAAGGAAAGUUCACUUAAUUUUUUUCUUCCUUGCCGUUAGAAGGUUGGGAUGCACGACAUUUCCUCCUCCUCAGUGCAGUUUCUUCAUAUGCUCGGGCUCUGCAGCCAAAUUAUCUUAUCCUGAAUAUAGAUCUUCAAAGCUGAUUGAAAUCUACCGGUGUGGAAAUACUCAGUCAUACGUUGGAAAGGAUCUGGGCCAAAUCCUGACUUAUUUUUUUGUGUGUAAACUGAAGUCAGUGGGAGUUGUGACCGUGGAAGCAGCGCUGUGCUUGCUCUUUUGUUAGCAGAUCCGUCUGCUGAUAUGUGCCCUGACCUUCCAGUUUGCUGCUAUGUUGGACGGAUAACUGUAGCUUAGCCUGAGCAAUUGUCGUUAUUGUGGUGUGUUUUAAGGGAAAAAAAAAUUGUUUGCUGGGUGUAAGUCGAGUUAUGAGCCUUAAUUUGGGGAAGGAGAGGUGUUGUGAGAUGGAGGUGUGUGGGAGCAUGAGUAGAUGUGUAUUCCAGACACAAGUGAGUGGGAAAGCUCAUUGCCGUGAAACAUGUCAUGGCUUCAUGCAUGUCAGUGCUUAAGGAUACAGCGUCCUGAGGCCAACACGUUUAGGGAAAAGCUGUGCUUUACACAUGUCAUAGCUGAUCCUUAAGACUGCUUUAGCACACAGGCGAGUAGUCAGAAAGAAAAAAACGCUGCGUAGAUAAGCCUACCUUCUUGGUGAGGAUCUACUGCAGUAGAUCCGCGUGUUUUUAAGCAGCGCUCAAGAACAGGACUAAGAACUGAAGCUGACCUGGCCCACAGAGGCUGCAUUUCAUUUCUUCCUGGGCAUGUGUGUGCAGCAGCUCUCCAGCCCGUGUGGCUGCCGGCCUGCCUGCGCCUUGGCCUGCCAGACAAUGGGAACGAAUCAUGUGAGGAAACUCGAGGUGUCAACAUUGGCUUAGUUUUUUCUUUUGCUUGUCUGUAAUUACUCUGCUGAAUUACGGGGGAUUAGUUUGUUAGUUGCAGCUGAUGAGUAUUCCUUCUAUUUUCACACCGAGCCAGAGAGCUGUGCUGUGAGGUUUGUUAGGGGUUCUUACUGGAUUUCGGUGCAACUUUGGAGUGCUCGCUUCAUCCCUGUGACCUGAAGAUCCUCAGGAUGGUACUGAGAGCUCCGUAGCCCCUUUUGGGAUUCCUGCCCCGGUCUGAGGGAUCAAACCCUCAUAGUUUACUUUAAACUGCGAGGAGGAGCUUGAGAGAAAUUUCCCUGGAGCUGGGUGAGCCCGAGUUCUCCACAGCUACCAGAGAGGAUCUGUUCAAGGCACGAUCAGGUUACCCUAAGGGCAGGGAUUUGUCCUUGCUGCAAUUUUGACCCCACAACCACUGGUCUGCUGUGCUAUGGGGGCAGGUUGGUGCCUAGAAGGAUUUGCUCUCAGGGCUGAAUAAUGACACUUCGGUGACUUUCUUCAAAGGGCAACCUCUCAUUCAAAUAUGGUGAGCAGUUGUCUUCGUCCUCUUUCUCACACACGGUGCUUUGCUGUAGUCUCA
ensembl:lncRNA